UACGUAGGUGGCGAGCGUUGUCCGGAUUUACUGGGCGUAAAGAGCGCGCAGGCGGUCAAGUCAGUCGAAUGUGAAAGCCCCCGGCUCAACUGGGGAGGGUCAUUCGAUACUGCUCGACUUGAAGGCAGGAGAGGGAAGUGGAAUUCCCGGUGUAGUGGUGAAAUGCGUAGAUAUCGUAAGGAAGACCAGUGGCGAAGGCGGGUCUCUGGACAGUUCCUGACGCUGAGGCACGAAGGCCAGGGGAGCAAACGGG
rnacentral:rRNA from 1 species